CUAAAUCGAGCCGAUCUGAUCCGUGUGUAUGACGGCAAGUCAUCGGCUGAUCCUGCUAUCAGAGUCCUUUGCAACGAAGGGACUGAACUGGAAAUCCUGUCCACAGGAUCCGAUCUCUUUAUAGAGUUCGUGGCUAAUUCCGAUUGGCCCGGCCAGGGUUUCAAAGCCACCUUCCAAUUCCAACCAAUAGAGGAAACCAACAUAGAAACUGAUCGAACGAAAAAUUCCGGCAGUUAUUCUUAUCCCACGGUAAUCGGUCCCAGCGUCAGCGAAACGACUAUUUCGGCCACUGUCGAACCGACGACCACGCAACAAACGUUUCGAUCUGUUGUCAAGGUCUGCAAAGG